UACGUAGGGAGCAAGCGUUAUCCGGAUUUAUUGGGUGUAAAGGGUGCGUAGACGGGAAAACAAGUUGGUUGUGAAAUCCCUCGGCUUAACUGAGGAACUGCAACCAAAACUAUUUUUCUUGAGUGCUGGAGAGGAAAGUGGAAUUCCUAGUGUAGCGGUGAAAUGCGUAGAUAUUAGGAGGAACACCAGUGGCGGAGGCGGCUUACUGGACGGUAACUGACGCUGAGGCUCGAAAGCGUGGGGAGCAAAAAGG
rnacentral:rRNA from 1 species